CGCCCCCUAUAGCUAGAAAAAAAAUCAAGAACGGUGGGAUCUGGGGCUGUCUCUUUUCGCCCCCAUAGCAAUAAAUAAUAAAUAAAAAUCAAGAACGGUGGAAUUUGGGGCUUUGUUUUUUGCCCCUAGAGCAAAAAAGAAAUAAUAAAAACCAAGAACGGUGUGAUCCAGAGCUCUGUUUUUUCGCCCCCUAUGGUUAGAUAGAACUAAUAAAAAUAAAGAACAAUGGGAUUUGGGGCUCCGUUUUUUCGGCCCCUAUAGCUACACAGGAUUAAUAAAAAUCAAGAGC
rnacentral:lncRNA from 1 species